rnacentral:RNase_P_RNA from 2 species
CUAGAUGGCUGUGUGACUGCCUUUUAAGGAGGAAAGUCCGGACUCAUCAGAGCACCAAAGCCGGAUAACUUCCGGCGGGGGUAACCCUAGGGAAAGUGCAACAGAAAAUAUACCGCCGGAAACGGUAAGGGUGAAAAGGUAAGGUAAGAGCUUACCACAUGCUUGGUAACAAGAAUGGUAUUGUAAACCCCUUUGGGAGCAAGUCCAAGAAACCUAGUCAUUUUGUGACAAACGUUGCUCUGCGUUUAGGUGUGGUAGGACGCUAGAGAUUGCUGGUAACAUCAAUCCAAGAUUAAUAGUCACAGCCUUGACUUUAUAAGGUACAGAAUCCGGCUUACAUGCCAUCUAGUUUG